rnacentral:lncRNA from 1 species
AUUCCUGCGUGAGGGCUGUGCCUCAAAGUGGGCCUUCGGCAGCGUGGCGGCGUGCCCUGAGAGGGCAAAUUGAGCACUGCCAGAAAAUGGAGUCCACAGACAGAGGGAUGCUGGGGACCCCAGGUUGCCUCUUUGGUCCAGGAACGUACAAGGAGACCCGGGAACGCUGCUUCUCCACCAAGCUGCUGGUUCCAAGACUUUUGCCGUUUGCUUCUGGGUGGGUGUAGAACUGGAGUCCACAUAUCAGCCGUGUUCUCCCUAUGCCCUAAGAAAAGAGUGUUUCCAGCGAGCACAUCCAGUGGAAUUCCCAACGCUCUGCCCGGAGUCCGCAACUUUGGGAAGGGGAGUCAAUUUAUCAGGUCACCUCUGGUCUGUCCCCAUAAUGAGCUCGGGGGAUGGGUUCUCCCAGCAUCUUGGUGUCCAUUCUUGAUGGCGCCGAUUCAUGCGAGGGACCCAGCCUUUCUUGUAUUCCCGCCGAAAGCCAUCGCUUUCACACGAUGUGCAAACACGUGGAAGAAUUUCUUGGGAGCUGGAGAUGCUGGGAAGAGUCACUUCCCAAGGGAGCAAACAGCAUUCCAUGGCCAUUUAUUUUUCCAGGGUUUUCGCAGCCACGUCUGCAACCCGGGUCGUUCUUCCGCAGCACAACAGCCAGGACUCGCAUCCAGGGCUCGUUCACUCUGUCAUCUAGUUCUUCUGUGUUUAUUCGGCACCUUACCACGUGCCAGACAGCUGGGGAAGCACGGGAGACAGCCAUCCCUGCCCUCAGCAUCUACUGGGAU